GGUGUUUGAGUGCAAAUGCUGGAGGCGUUAGAAGACCGAGCAAUUAGAACCCUUUGUACACAUGUGGGAGGAGAGAAUGAAUUGUCUGAGCUUCCCCAUCCUCCUCCCAACGUUAUGCAUGAGCCAGGUCAGUCAUCGCUGAUAGUGGAAGAUCCCAGUGUCAACAGCCAGAUUUGGAUUCAAGCUCUCCCACAGUACAGGAAAUAGGGUUACCACCUGGGCACCUCCUCUGAUAAUUCCAGACUUUAAAAAAAAACAAAGGGAAAAUGAGAUGGCACACUGAAGUCUUUCACUCUAGCAAAACUUACACAGAAGCCAAAGGGACUUUUUUGUUUGAGAAAAAACUUCAGGAUGGAGCCGAUAAGCAGAAGUGAAACAAGCUUUGUUCCUGUGGCUUAUAGUAUCAGCAGAAGUUCUGGCAAGAAAUAUUUCUCUCCUAUUCUUUCUUUCAUGCUAUUUGUUUGAGUACACUGCUUUCUCUUUCCCUCCCUCUCCACCAGAUGGCAAAGCUGCUCUAUAAUUGACAUCCUGAAACAUACUAGUUGUAUUCAUCACUUGCAGUCUUGGGCUACAUCUACACUACAGGGGGGAGUCGAUUUAAGAUACGCAAAUUCAGCUACGUGAAUAGCGUAGCUGAAUUCGACGUAUCACAGCCGACUUACCCCGCUGUGAGGACGGCGGCAAAAUCGACCUCUACGGCUUCCUGUCGACGGCGCUUACUCCCACCUCCGCUGGUGGAGUAAGAGCGUCGAUUCGGGGAUCGAUUGUCGCGUCCCAACGGGACGCGAUAAAUCGAUCCCCGAGAGGUCGAUUUCUACCCGCCGAUUCAGGCGGGUAGUGUAGACCUAGCCUUGAAAUCAAGAUACGCUUUAACCCAAACAGAAAUUAUGGUCUCAACGCAGAAAUUAUUGGGUGAGUUUCUUUGGCCUGUGUUAUGCAGGAGGUCAGACUAGAUUAUCAUAAUGGUCUCCUGUGGCCUUAAAAGUCUAUCAAUCUAUGAAAGCGAUGGUACAAUAAAUUGUUCUGGCAGCAGAUAGUACA
rnacentral:lncRNA from 1 species